rnacentral:rRNA from 1 species
AGAGUUUGAUCCUGGCUCAGGACGAACGCUGGCGGCGUGCUUAACACAUGCAAGUCGAACGGUGAAGCCCUUCGGGGUGGAUCAGUGGCGAACGGGUGAGUAACACGUGGGCAAUCUGCCCUGCACUCUGGGACAAGCCCUGGAAACGGGGUCUAAUACCGGAUAUGACCGUGGAGCGCAUGCUCUGUGGUGUAAAGCUCCGGCGGUGCAGGAUGAGCCCGCGGCCUAUCAGCUUGUUGGUGGGGUAAUGGCCUACCAAGGCGACGACGGGUAGCCGGCCUGAGAGGGCGACCGGCCACACUGGGACUGAGACACGGCCCAGACUCCUACGGGAGGCAGCAGUGGGGAAUAUUGCACAAUGGGCGAAAGCCUGAUGCAGCGACGCCGCGUGAGGGAUGACGGCCUUCGGGUUGUAAACCUCUUUCAGCAGGGAAGAAGCGCAAGUGACGGUACCUGCAGAAGAAGCACCGGCUAACUACGUGCCAGCAGCCGCGGUAAUACGUAGGGUGCGAGCGUUGUCCGGAAUUAUUGGGCGUAAAGAGCUCGUAGGCGGCCUGUCGCGUCGGAUGUGAAAGCCCGGGGCUUAACCCCGGGUCUGCAUUCGAUACGGGCAGGCUAGAGUGUGGUAGGGGAGAUCGGAAUUCCUGGUGUAGCGGUGAAAUGCGCAGAUAUCAGGAGGAACACCGGUGGCGAAGGCGGAUCUCUGGGCCAUUACUGACGCUGAGGAGCGAAAGCGUGGGGAGCGAACAGGAUUAGAUACCCUGGUAGUCCACGCCGUAAACGUUGGGAACUAGGUGUUGGCGACAUUCCACGUCGUCGGUGCCGCAGCUAACGCAUUAAGUUCCCCGCCUGGGGAGUACGGCCGCAAGGCUAAAACUCAAAGGAAUUGACGG